UACAGAGGGGGCAAGCGUUGUUCGGAAUUACUGGGCGUAAAGGGCGCGUAGGCGGCCUUCUAAGUCGAAACGUGAAAUCCCUGGGCUCAAACCCAGGAACUGCGUCCGAUACUGGAAGGCUUGAAUCCGGGAGAGGGAUGCAGAAUUCCAGGUGUAGCGGUGAAAAUGCGUAGAUAUCUGGAGGAAUACCGGUGGCGAAAGGCGGCAUCCUGGGACCGGCAUUGACGCUGAGGAGCGAAAAGCUAGGGGGAGCAAACGGGG
rnacentral:rRNA from 1 species